rnacentral:lncRNA from 1 species
AAAUAGGAAGAUGAUGACUUGCUGGUGUUCUUGCUUCUUCUGCUACUAGUUGUCUUGGUGCUUUUUCUCGUCGACGAAUCUCGGAGCUUUUUCUUCAAGCUGCUCAAGACCUUCUCCAUCCUCCCCAUUGCUCUCAGUUCUGUAAGUAUCGCUGGCCCCUCUUGUGUUUUUAUAUAAAUUAUGUGUGAGGAUUGGUUGUCAAAUAAAUACGGUUAACCAAAUAUGAAAAGGAUGGAUCUUUUUACUGCUCUGGUGGUGGUUGGAAGAAAGCUAAAGCUAAUUAAACUUGUUCAUAUAUAUAGAGGUUACGGGUACACUAAUGUCAACUUUGUAUAAGAUUUGGGAGUCCAUAUUUGAGCUGACUCUUGAGGAUCCGUCCUGAAUGAAAUCAUCAGAUAUGUAAAAAUACGCGACAAUUAUUUAAAAACAUUUAUGAGGGGGGAAGAAGACAGAAAUGCUAGAAUGAGCCCACACGUACAAUGACGCCAUAUUGGCGGCUUAGUUUAUUGCAACUAUGCUUUGCUUGUGGUUUACGUCUUACGUCAUACAGACAUCCUUGGACCAAGUUUCCUGGAGGUGCCCUACAGCGUAUUUCUCUCAGGAAGCUGCUUAUCUUGGUAAUAUUUCAUCGCUAUGGUUUAUCUGCUGGUCGUUCUGAAGUUUCCCCAUUGGUAUUUGUUUUGUUUGGCUAGUGUGAACCUAUUUUCUCAAAUGUAAGUUGGAAUUGAACGGUUUUGUCUUGGUAUUUGUUAUGUCUUGAUUCGAGCGGGGUGGAUGGUCGAUCUUCAAAGCCGAUCAAACUUCGGAUGCACAUAGACUAGUCGGCGCGUUUUAUGUGUUAUGAGGAGCAUACACUAAGGAGAAUAUGGUAAGGAAUAGUGUGACUGACUUCAACGGUGGCCAAUGAGAGGCUUGUCGAGUGUAGCUUGCCUUGAGGGGAUUUGCAGUAGAGGAGUUAGACGACCAUCUUAGAGGAUUGAUGUGCCCUGGCUGGAACGCGUUGGAUACUACCCUCGAGCUGGAAUACUCGAGACCCUUAGGCAAUCUGUUUGGUGAGAUUAAUAUAUGUCCACGCUAUAAAUAGUGUCACUCGUGGCCUUUUACAGGGUCUUGGGAUUAAUGUUGAGAUAAUCUCGAUUGUGUGAAUCAACAAUAGAGAUGUGUCUCAGAAACUAGAGGUGGAAAACGGGCCAGAAAUGAGACUCCGUUUCCGAUUUUUGGAAACCCCAAAAUCCGAUUUAGAUGUUAUGUUCCCUUAGUUCGGGAUCUAAAAUUCAAAUUAGGAACUUGUUCACCCCGAAUUAUAAUUUUUUUUUUUCGAAUAAGCCACCGAACACUUUUAUGCAAUACUGCAACCUCUAUAGUGGGCUAACGUGUUUGUGACUUAGCU